AGCCAAAUUGCAUAUUUCGACAGAGAGAAGGCAAUGUCAAAAUCUUCUUCUCAAUCAACUGAAAAUGGAGACCGCUCGGUGAAUUUAUCUCACACAUUCAAGUACUUGCUAGGCCAGUAAUUUUCCUUCUCACCUUAUAUUUGUUCAAUUUUCAUAUUUUUUUAGCAUUGUUUGUUCAGUAAUGUGUUCAUAUUUGUAGCAACUCAAUUUUUAUCAAGGGGAAUACCGUUCAUAUUCAACUCUUGGAUCGUUCGGCACCUUAAUGAAGAAGACUAUGCGUUGUAUGCUGUACAAUUUCACUUGUUCAUUACUUGUGUGCUUUUUCUUAGUCGAGAGGGCUUCAGGCGAGCAUGCAUGAGGGCCGACAUUUAUUGUGGCGGAUCACUGAGAGAAAAUGCAGCAAAACUGUUGAAAGUAGCAUGAAUGGCCCUCCCUUUGGGAAUAAUUGUCACAUUUGCAGGAUGCCUUUUUGUUUUAUGGUGGCAAGAACUAAGUUAUUCUAGUCAAUAUGCACAGGCUAUAUGGAUAAAUGGUUUUGCAUGUAUAUUGGAGCUACUAGCCGAACCCUUUUACAUCUUAUCUCAGAAUUUGCUUCUCCUCAAGUUGCGUCUGAUAGUUGAAAGUGCAGCUACCCUUUCACGUUGUAUAGCUACCUACAUGCUCAUUGAAAAGCUACCUGGCAUGGAACAAUAUUUUGAAGGAGUCUCCACACGUCUACAUAGUUUGAAGACUAAUGUUUAGUAAAUCUAGUUUUUGGUGUAAUCUUAAACAUG